rnacentral:rRNA from 1 species
AUUGAACGCUGGCGGCAUGCCUUACACAUGCAAGUCGAACGGUAACAGGUCUUCGGAUGCUGACGAGUGGCGAACGGGUGAGUAAUGCAUCGGAACGUGCCCAGUAGUGGGGGAUAGCCCGGCGAAAGCCGGAUUAAUACCGCAUACGACCUGAGGGUGAAAGGGGGGGAUCGCAAGACCUCUCGCUAUUGGAGCGGCCGAUGUCAGAUUAGCUAGUUGGUGGGGUAAAGGCCUACCAAGGCAACGAUCUGUAGUUGGUCUGAGAGGACGACCAGCAAGACGGGGACGGAGACACGGCCCAGACUCCUACGGGAGGCAGCAGUGGGGAAUGUUGGACAAUGGGCGAAAGCCUGAUCCAGCCAUGCCGCGUGUCUGAAGAAGGCCUUCGGGUUGUAAAGGACUUUUGUCGGGGAGGAAAUCCCCAGCGCUAAUACCGCUGGGGGAUGACAGUACCUGAAGAAUAAGCACCGGCUAACUACGUGCCAGCAGCCGCCGUAACAC